rnacentral:rRNA from 1 species
AUUGAACGCUGGCGGCAUGCAUUACACAUGCAAGUCGAACGGUAACAGGUUAAGCUGACGAGUGGCGAACGGGUGAGUAACGCAUCGGAACGUGCCCGGUCGUGGGGGAUAACGCAGCGAAAGCUGCGCUAAUACCGCAUACGAUCUGAGGAUGAAAGCGGGGGACCGUAAGGCCUCGCGCGAUCGGAGCGGCCGAUGUCAGAUUAGGUAGUUGGUGGGGUAAAGGCUCACCAAGCCGACGAUCUGUAGCUGGUCUGAGAGGACGACCGGCCACACUGGGACUGAGACAUGGCCCAGACUCCUACGGGAGGAAGCAGUGGGGAAUUUUGGACAAUGGGCGCAAGCCUGAUCCAGCGAUGCCGCGUGCAGGAAGAAGGCCUUCGGGUUGUAAACUGCUUUUGUACGGAGCGAAAAGGCUCUCUCUAAUACAGGGGGCUCAUGACGGUACCGUAAGAAUAAGCACCGGCUAACUACGUGCCAGCCGCCGCAGUAA